ensembl:misc_RNA Metazoa_SRP Metazoan signal recognition particle RNA
GCUGGGUGUGGUGGUGUGUGCCUGUAGUCUCAGCUACUUGGGAGGCUGAGGUGGGAGGAUCACUUGAGCCUGGGAGGUCAAGGCUGCAGUGAGCUGUGGUCGUGCCACUGCACUCCAGCCUGGGCAACAGAGUGAGACCUUGUCUCAA